CUUCUCCGCAGCCAUCCAAUGUGCCACUUCCCACACAUUAACAUUGAAGCGAGAAUGUGUCAAUAUGAUAGAAAUCCGUGUCAAAUCUCCUUCUUCGCCUGGCACCCGAUAAUUUAUUUAUUAGAGUACAGUAUCGGCAAGGAAUCUCGAUUAUUAAUUCGAUUUUUUUAAGUAUUAUUAAGUAAGCCAUCCACAAUGCAUAGGACUACCCCUCCCCAUUUCCUAAUUUUGAAUGGAAUACUUUAUUAUUUUUUAGUCCCUUUAAUUGACAUAGAUGCAAAUACUUUACUAAGAUGAUGCACAAGAAAGGGUCAGGAUAGCUCAGUUGGUAGAGCAGAGGACUGAAAAUCCUCGUGUCACCAGUUCAAAUCUGGUUCCUGGCACAGAAAAAAAGGAUCUACCGAAUAGAUAUUGAUACAAAUAUUUUGAGAUGGAUUGGGAUAAAUAUUCAUUAAAAAUCUACUUAGUCUAGAGUAAGUAGAUAAAUGUCUAGAGUAAGUAGAUAAAUCUCUAAACACUUCUUUUUCUUUUAAAAAUAAAAAAGGGUUCAAAUCUCUGGUUCUUUUCUUUAUGGUAUAGAAAGAGGUGAGAUUAGGUGCCCUUUUCUUCAUUUUGCAUUUCUUAUUAAUUUUGUAUGCCGCUAUUCCGAAGAAUAUUUUUUUUUAUUCUUGCUUAUCCUACUUUCCUAGUUGUUCUAAGUAAUAUGCGCGGUACAAAGUUCGUGGUAGGAACUUCUUUGAGUCAUUGUAUUUUUCUGUUCAUACGAAGGAAACAAAUAUGUGAUUUUCCAAAUUGGAAAAUCGAAAUGAAGCCCUUUUUGUUCAGUCUAUCUGGACCUUUUUGUAUAAUAGGAAUUAAUUAGAAUAUUAUAUUCUAAGUAUUUCGUUUCGUCUAGGAACAGAACCUCAAAAUAUUCCUUUACUUUAAUAAAAUCUGGAAUUGUGUUGUAUAAGUGAACAUGAAUUUAUUAUCACUCAAUGAGCAUCUUGUAUUUCAUAGAAAUUGGGGGUUAUAUAGUCCUUACGUAAGGGCCAGCCUAUCCAACUUUCAGGCAUUAAGAUACGUUUAAGACGUGGAUGAUUAUCAUAAGAAAUUCCCACCAUAUCAUAAGAUUCGCGUUCUUGAAAAUCGGCACUUCUCCAAACCCAGAAAACAGACGGGAUUCUAGGAUUAUCCUUUUGGGCAAAGACUUUUAUGCAUACCUCUUCUGGGUUAUCUAUACCAUACUGUAUUCUCGUAAGAUGAUACACGCUAGCUAAAGAUCCACCGGGUGCUACGUCAUAAGCACAUUGGGAACGUAAAUAAUUGUAACCAUAUACAUAUAAAAUGACAGCAAUGGAAUCCCAAUCCCCCGCUUUUAUUUGUAAAGUCUCGACUCCUCGAUGAUCGAAGCCCAAAGACCUAUGAACCACGUCAUGUUUAACUAGCCAAUUAGAUAACCAACCCUGCUGCAUUGUCUUGAUCUCUCCCCCUUUGUAUAAAUAUUUCACAUUUCAAAUGCAAGUUUGAAAGAUUGCACUGCUCUUUCUUUUUCUGCACAAAAGAACCCCUCCUAAUUCACUAAUUUGUAGGAAGAUACUGAACUUUUGGAUUUGAAAAAAGUUUCAGAAGAUAUAUCUAAAGUAGAUGGUGAUUGAUAGAGCAAUUCUUGUUCGUAAGUUCCAGUGUGAGUACUGCGCCGAACAUAAAGUUUGUGACGGGUAGUAAAAGAUCUAUUUUUCUUUUGACUUUGACAUAGAGUUCGAUCCUCAAUUAUUUCUCGCGCUAUCUUCUUACGAAGUUUUGUUAGGGCAUCUAUAACAGCCUCUGGUUUAGGCGGGCAACCCGGCAGGUAGACGUCCACAGGAAUUAACUUAUCAACUCCUCGAACAGUACUAUAGGAAUCUGUACUGAACAUGCCCCCUGUAAUAGUACAGGCUCCCAUAGCAAUGACGUAUUUCGGUUCAGGCAUUUGCUCAUAUAAUCGCACUAAAGAUGGAGCCAUUUUCAUUGUUACCGUACCAGCUGUUAAAAUUAGGUCCGCUUGUCUAGGACUUGAUCUCGGUACCAAUCCAUAACGAUCAAAGUCGAAUCGCGAGCCUAUUAAUGAGGCAAAUUCAAUGAAACAACAACUGGUACCAUAUAGAAGGGGCCAUAAACUUGAGAGUCUUGACCAAUUCGAAAGAUCGUUUGGUGUAGUUGAAAUAACGGAAUUAGAACUUGUUUGGUCGAGUAACGGAAACUCAAUCAAACUCAUAAUUGUCUCAAUGGAAUCUUUUCCUUCUUUUUUUUUCUGAAUAUUCAGUUAAGACCAUUCCAAGGCUCCUUUUCGCCAUGCAUAAACUAAACCAACAACUAGGAUAAGCACAAAAAUGAAAGCUUCGAUAAAAACGGAUACACCCAAUACGUCGAAACUCAUUGCCCAAGGGUAGAGAAAGACUGUUUCCACAUCAAAAACAACAAAAACUAGCGCAAACAUGUAAUAGCGUAUUCGGAAUUGUAACCAAGCCCCCCCCAUGGGUUCUAUACCCGAUUCAUAACUAGAAAGCUUCUCUGGUCCUUCACUAACCGGGGCUAAAAGUCCUGAAAUCCAAAAUACCAAAAUAGGAAUAAGGCUUGCUAUUAUUAGAAAUGUCCAAAAAAUAUCAUAUUCGUGAAGCAGAAACAUAAAUGUACUCCCAUUAAUGUGGAAUAGGCGGAACUGAAUUAGUCAAUUCAAGUUGACAUUGUCAAUUUAUCCAGAACUUCUCUCUUUUCCUCGGUGAAACAAGAAUCUGUUUUGCUCAAACCAAAGGCAAGGAGCGCUUACUUUAGGCUUUGUUUCUUUUGUGAUAUGUCUUCCUUAAGGAUUCAUCCAAUGUAAUCCCCACUGCCCUUCUUUAUUUAUUUUGUAUCGGGUUACUAAAUACUAAACAAAUUCAAGAAAUAAGAGAAUUCAGAAUAGCUACCAGAAAGACUAAUCCAAUCCAUAAUGAUGUACCGGAAAAUACAACGUUUUUAUUAUUUGACCAACCAUCAGGAGAAGCAAAUACAAGGGGUACACUAAUUACUAAAACUGAGGAAGUCGCAAUUAAUGCAAAAACAGCUAAUUGGAAAGCAAUAGUCAUAUUUAUGAUCCUCCAAACUACCUUCAAAUAAAGUUGACUACAUAUUUCUAUUUGAUCCCUCACUUAAUCAAAAUUGUACGAAAAUACAAGAAGUAGGAGGGGUUUAAUCAUGAAUCCAUUGAUUCUUCUUUUUAUUAAAACUUUUUCCUUACCGCUUUUAUUUGGAUAUGGAGUUGAGGGGAGGGGAUUUAGCCUUUAUUUCACAAACGGAUAUAGCGGAUUCUGUAUCCGUGUAUACAGUAUACAGAGAUAUAUUGAAAGUGGACUUGCAUCUGAGAUGAGUUAGUAGAUCAUUUCAUAUAGCAAUGUUCUAUUUGUAGUUACCAAUGAAUAGGAUAGAGAAGCUCUAUCCUAGAUUUCUAUGGUAUAUGGAAUUUAUGGUUUCCUUUGGUUUAAAUCCAAUCAUCUAGAUUGGAAGAAGCAAUUCCCCCAUUGGUAACAAAUGGUUAUCCAUUAAGCGGAGGAAAUAGUAAUAAAAAGAAAAAGGCUUAUGCUCCUUUAUCUUAAAAGAACGGACUAAAGGGUCAGCUACUUAGCCAACUUUCAUAAUUAAAUACCGUCACUGUAUGAAUAAUUCUUAUUGUGAAAAGAGUUAUUUACUCUAUAAUGGAUAGGUAGAGCCAAAGAAUGUGAACUAUACAAGUUCACAAUACCUUUUGAUGAAAUGAAAGAAAGGGCUCCGGUGUAUAGAGAGGGCCUCGCCGUUUAAAAGGGAACCAUAAAAACGAUGGAACCCACUGUUUUUUUAGUAUCGUUAGAAUUUGUUAUUUCUAUGCGAAAUAACUGAAUAGAAUAAAAAAUCGUGGUUGGGAAGGUUAUAGUAGCAAAAGCCAUUGGAAUUAAUUCUAAACAAAAGUAGAAGUUCAAAACCUAAUAAAUUUAAUUAUCUCUUCCAUUCUAUGGCCCCAAGAAUGCCAAUAUUAGCACGAAUCGUACGGAAAUGUAACUCGGUAUUCAAACAACUAUUCAGAGUUCCUAGAGCUCCUUGUACAGCUUGUUGGAAAACCCGUUGUCGGACCUGAUUCCCAAUCCAUCUCGAGUAAUUUUUAUCAAUACCUAUUCGGUAGAUCCUUUUUUCUGUGCCAGGAACCAGAUUUGAACUGGUGACACGAGGAUUUUCAGUCCUCUGCUCUACCAACUGAGCUAUCCUGACCAUUUAUUGUGCAUCAUCCUAGUAGAGUACGUACUUGUAUCUAUGUCAAUUAAAGGGACUAAAAAAGAAAAAAGUCUUCUAAAAUUGGACUUAGUAAAUGUCAGGAUAAUGAUAUGGAUUGUGAAUGACUUACUUAAUAAUAGGGAUUACUUGCCUAUACUAUAAUAUGUUCAUUUGUAUGAAUGGGAUAAGAUCCAAAGAAGUAAGUUCGGAUCCGUUUGUGAAAGAGUAGAAUAAGAAAGAUAGUGAAUCUUGUUUGAACCAUUAAUGAAAAAUAGAGGUUGGUACAAUAGUUAGGAAGUAAAAUGGGCUUUUUAUUGGGGAUAGAGGGACUUGACUUGAACCCUCACAAUUUAGAAAGUCGACGGAUCGACUAUAUAAUAUACUAUAAAUUUCAUUGUUGUCGGUAUUGACAUGUAGAAUGGGGUUCUCUCUCCAUUCACUUUGAGCUGGGUUUCUUGUGAUCUUUGUAGUUGUUUUUCCGUCCAAUUUUAUGGUAAAUUCAGUCAUAGGAAUCCAGACUCCGCUUGAUUCGAUCUUCAGUUUCGACCUUCAUCACUCAGGAAAUUUUUGUUGCCACUUAUUCCACUCAGAGAGACCGAACCAGGCAACAAAAAGGCUGAAGGAAGUUCUCUUUCCAUUCCAACUAAACUAAGUGAAAAAAGGGAUAGAGCAAAUUGUUGAGGAACAAAGAAAAUAUCUCCAAACCAACGACUCCUUUCCUUUGGUCGACUCUAAAGAAUGUAUCGGGAGUUGGGAGU
rnacentral:lncRNA from 1 species